GACGAACGCUGGCGGCGUGCUUAACACAUGCAAGUCGAACGGAAAGACACUACUUUUGUGGGCUGCUCGAGUGGCGAACGGGUGAGUAACACGUGAGUAACCUGCCCUAGACUUUGGGAUAAGUUCAGGAAACGGGGGCUAAUACCGGAUAGGAGCCCCUGCUGCAUGGUGAGGGUUGGAAAGUUUCUGCGGUAGGGGAUGGACUCGCGGCUUAUCAGCUUGUUGGUGGGGUAGUGGCUUACCAAGGCAUUGACGGGUAGCCGGCCUGAGAGGGGGACCGGCCACAAUGGGACUGAGAGACGGCCCAGACUCCUACGGGAGGCAGCAGGGGGGAAUAUUGCACAAUGGGCGGAAGCCUGAUGCAGCGACGCCGCGUGCGGGAUGACGGCCUUCGGGUUGUAAACCGCUUUCGGCUGAGACGAAGCGGGAGUGACGGUACCGGGAGAAGAAGCACCGGCUAACUACGUG
rnacentral:rRNA from 1 species